rnacentral:lncRNA from 1 species
GAUGGAGACCAAAUCCAGCUUGAAUCACGCAAUUGAGAACUCCAAGCCGGAAGAAACCAGUGACACAGAGGGUGCAGCGGAAAAUGAAUUGAUGAUGCAGUGUUCAAUGUGUUUUAAUGGAGGAGAUGUGUAUGGGUGAGAUCUCACNGCUCAGAAGGCCUUCCUAAGAUGGAAGGAAGCUUGAGAAAGGGAGAAGAAGUAGAAGAACAAGGUGACUUCAGAGCACAAGAAGCUGGGAAAUUAAUUCUGCAGCAUAACAUUGCAAGCUCAAAAGUGCUCAUACAAAGGAGAGGCCCUCUUAUUUAUAGGAAAAGAUGGGCCUCUUUUCUGAAAUCAAAAUGCCUCUUAAAUUCACAUGAAAUUC